rnacentral:rRNA from 1 species
CCUACGGGUGGCAGCAGUGGGGAAUAUUGGGCAAUGGAGGAAAGUCUGACCCAGCAACGCCGCGUGAAGGAUGAAGGCCUUCGGAUUGUAAAGUUCUUUUCUAAGGGAAGAAGAAAGUGACGGUACCUUAGGAAUAAGCCUCGGCUAACUACGUGCCAGCAGCCGCGGUAAUACGUAGGAGGCAAGCGUUAUCCGGAUUGACUGGGCGUAAAGGGUGCGUAGGUGGGGUGAGAAGUUGGGAGCGAAACGCCGGGGCUCAACCUGGGCACUGCUACCGAAACUGUCGUCCUUGAGUGCAGGAGGGGCAGCUGGAAUUCCUAGUGUAGCGGUGGAAUGCGUAGAUAUUAGGAGGAACACCAGUGGCGAAGGCGGUUUGCUGGACUGUAACUGACGCUGAGGCACGAAAGCGUGGGGAGCAAACAGGAUUAGAUACCCCUGUAGUC